CACAACCAAACAGAAAAUAGAGGAUAGGGGGGAAGAAAAUAGAGGAAAGGGGGAAGAGAAAUAGAAGAAAGGGAAGGAGGAGGAGAAGAAGAAGGAGGAAAGAGAGAGAGAGACCGAGAGAGAUGACGCAGCGUGAAGCAUAAAGAAAAGUAACACACACUCACAUAAAGAGUGAAAGGAGAGAGAAAAUACUCUAUCGGACCUUGAACGGGGAAGAAGAUGAGGCCGCCAGACUAGACAGUGCUAUAUUGGUGAAGAGACCUUAAACGGGGAAGAAGAUGAUCGUUUCCAAGUAGGAACAAUGAUGGACCUGAUCCGGAUUCUAAACGAUGUAUUUAAACCCGAACUCUGUUAAGAACCGGUACCGAAUCUUUUCUAUUUUCUUUAUCGGAGCAGGUUCUAAUCGGGUCGGAUGCUAUUAGUAUUAGGUCAACUCGAAAUCUCUAUUCUAUUUAGCGGCGGCGCGGAGCGGCGCAUUUUAUUUUGAUCCAAGCAAACCCUAAAAUUUCUUGUGAAUUGACUUCCUCUGGCUCGUAGUCGAAGGAGUCCAACAAAAAACCAAAAAAUUAUUGUUUGAAUCAGUGCGCUAGAGUUACUACUAAUACUCUAGCUUCAUGAUGAAACCCAACCCUUUAAUGCAGCAGCAGGAGCCUCAGGCGGUGGCGAUCCAGAAUUCGAACCAGGCUUCAUCUGCGGAUGCGCCGCCCAAGCAGGUGGCGAUGGCUAUGGACAGGCUGGCCCAAGCAGCUCGUCUCAUUGCCGACGUAAGGCUCGGCGCUGACCGGCUCCUCGAAGCGCUGUUCAUUGCAGCGCAGCCCCACCAGAGUAACAAGCCCUUGCAUUUGUUCGCGAAAGAAGACGCUGCCAUGCGUCAACAUCUCCAAAACCUCCGCACCGUUGGAAGGCAGCUAGAAGAAUCUGGGGUUCUCAAUGAUUCUCUAAGGUCACGAAGCAAUUCUUGGGGUUUGCAUAUGCCACUAGUGUGUCCAGAUGGUGCAGUCGUUGCAUAUGCUUGGAAAAGGCAACUUGCUGGCCAGGCUGGUGCAUCAGCAGUUGAUAGAACUAGGUUAGCUCUUAAGGCAUUCACAGAUCAGAAAAGGCAAUUUUUCCCUCACCUCGAUGAUGGACUAGAGGGUCAAAGUAAUGAACCUGUAUCAAAAAAGCAUUGCAGUACCCAAGUGCCACCAGCAACUCUUCAGGAAGAUCUUAGUGAUUGCAAAACAUUUUCAGAUGUUUUAACACGUCUGGAAAAAGAAAUGCCAAAUUUGAAAGUUUUCACUUUUGAGCGACUAGAUUGGUUGAAAAGAGCUUCUUCACUGCCAAAUUCAACAAAUGAAAAUCCUGUUGAAACAUCAAAAGAGCAUACUUUUCAUUCUUUAAAUAAACUAAGAACAGGAUCACAGGGCCCUGUUACCACUGAUAAGGCUGCUGUAAUUGAACUGUUGUUUCCUUCUGUCUUCAGAGCUAUUGUUUCAUUGCAUCCAGCUGGUUCUAUUGACCCAGAUGCAGUAGCUUUCUUUUCACCAGAUGAGGUAAUUUUUUUAUAAGAUCUCUCUUUUUCUCAAUUCUAGUUCAUUACCUUGGUAUGAUUGGUAAGCUCUGAUGUUCAUGUAUGACCAUAUUGCCUCUUCCUUCUAGAGUAGCAUCACUUUACCUCUUGAUAGUUGCUACAAUUCAGAGUUCAAUAAUUACUCUUCUGUUUUAAGUUUAUAUCAGAAUUGCAGUAAAAAAGUGAAGAGUUGAAUUUUAGUGCUUGCUUGGAUAUGUUCUCACUAUCCUAGUACAUCCUAUCCAUGUAUUAUAUAUUUAGAUUAACUUAUAAGUUCAGGUGCUAUUUCUCAAACUGAGCAGUAACAUGUAGUCUCAACAUUAUAGAAGUCAAUUCACCAAAUUUUAUUAGUCAAAUCCUACCCUUAAUUCUAGUUUGAUGGGGCGUAUGGUUUUACUUGUGGCACUAAUUGUUGGAACUGAACCAAAAAAUAUUUUGAAGUCUUGUCAACGAGACAAUUACAUUUCGAUGCUUUUGAGCUUAAAAAAAAAAAAUCUUGUACCGAAUCCAUUAUCUACUCGGUUUUGUAUUUUGCUGCCCCUUCCUUUUACACAGGAGGGUGUUCUAGCUGCAUUUUGCUGACAAUUUAUUCAUCUUUUACCCUCUUCAAUAGGGAGGCAGCUAUGUACAUACAAGAGGUUUUUCAGUUCAUCAUGUAUUCAGACAUAUCACGGAGCAUGCUGCAAUGGCACUGCAACAUUUUCUGGGUAUUGGGACUGAAACAGCACUUCAUUUUCUUUUGCAUUGGAUCUGCAGCUAUCAAACGCUCUUUACUAAAGUUUGCAGUAAGUGUGGGCGGCUACUGGCAAUGGACCGAGAAUCAUCAUUAUUGCUACCUCCAGUUCAUCGACCUUACCGGCAUUUUUCUGCUCUGAAAGUUUCAUCAACCCCUGCCACUUCCUCAACCAAGGACCAGUUUCCAGGAGCUUAUCAUAUUGGUUGCUUUUCAGAGGACUUGUAGUUUCUCUAACUUUAGCCGACUCGAUGAUGUUUGACUACUUUGAGAUGCCUAUCUAUGACGUAUGAGGCAUUUUACAGGUUCACCUAGGAAUGAUAUUUCAUUAAUCUUGGUGAGAAAUUGUAAGAAUUGAUAUCGCACAAUAUAUGGCAGAAUGACUCUAGCUUUUUACAUACUGUAAUUAUGAUCAUUUUUUUUUAAUAUUUGGUAAUAUCAUGGCAUACAUCAGGAAAAGUUGUGUUGCUCAUGCAUGAAAAAAAUUUUGCAUGUAAUGUUGAA
rnacentral:misc_RNA from 1 species